ACACGGAUGAUGGCAAUUGGGCAGCACCAGAUCCAGCAAAUGCUUGGUGUGAGGACAGGUGGGGCCCAAGCGGACUGUGCCCAAGAGAAUCAAAUUUCCAGCCAUUCAGUGGACAUUUAAGUUUGUUUCUGUUUGCAUGGAAAGCUAGCAACUGCCUGCAGCAGCUCUCCAGAAAUUAGAAGCAAAGGCUCGUGAGCUCGGCAAACAUUCUCCAUGGUUAUGGAAGCCUUGUGCUAAUGAAGCCUGUGUGGCCAUGGCUUGAUGAGUGGCGUGUACAUCUGCACCCGGGAUCUGAACCCACAAACCCCAGGCCACUGAAGCAAAGCGGGCGAACUUAACCACUAUGCCACCAGGUACCUGCGACAAUGGUCCCCUCAACAACAAUACCAAAGGUUUCUGCUCUGGCGGAAUCAUUGAUUUGCUGCUCCUAUUGUGUUUGCUGCCUACUUUCAUAAUGGAGGGAAACGCAGAUUUUCGGUCUGAGGAUAGUGAAAAUGAAGAUGUAGUUUUUUUCCCCUCCAAACUGAUAGACUUCCUGAGUUCCAGCCUUAGCCUGCUGCGAGGUCAACGGACUCAGGGUGAAGAAGCCCCAGUGGAUACAGAGAGCAUAUUCCUGAUUAGGGAGCUUCACAAGCGGCCUGCAAAAGAAAA
rnacentral:lncRNA from 1 species